rnacentral:rRNA from 1 species
CGUGCGGCGUGCUAAUACAUGCAAGUCGAAGCGAAUGGAUUAAGAAGCUUGCUCUUAUGAAGUUAGCGGCGGACGGGUGAGUAACACGUGGGUAACCUGCCCAUAAGACUGGGAUAACUCCGGGAAACCGGGGCUAAUACCGGAUAACAUUUUGAACCGCAUGGUUCGAAAUUGAAAGGCGGCUUCGGCUGUCACUUAUGGAUGGACCCGCGUCGCAUUAGCUAGUUGGUGAGGUAACGGCUCACCAAGGCAACGAUGCGUAGCCGACCUGAGAGGGUGAUCGGCCACACUGGGACUGAGACACGGCCCAGACUCCUACGGGAGGCAGCAGUAGGGAAUCUUCCGCAAUGGACGAAAGUCUGACGGAGCAACGCCGCGUGAGUGAUGAAGGCUUUCGGGUCGUAAAACUCUGUUGUUAGGGAAGAACAAGUGCUAGUUGAAUAAGCUGGCACCUUGACGGUACCUAACCAGAAAGCCACGGCUAACUACGUGCCAGCAGCCGCGGUAAUACGUAGGUGGCAAGCGUUAUCCGGAAUUAUUGGGCGUAAAGCGCGCGCAGGUGGUUUCUUAAGUCUGAUGUGAAAGCCCACGGCUCAACCGUGGAGGGUCAUUGGAAACUGGGAGACUUGAGUGCAGAAGAGGAAAGUGGAAUUCCAUGUGUAGCGGUGAAAUGCGUAGAGAUAUGGAGGAACACCAGUGGCGAAGGCGACUUUCUGGUCUGUAACUGACACUGAGGCGCGAAAGC